GGGUCCGCACAAGCGGUGGAGCAUGUGGUUUAAUUCGAUGAUACGCGAGGAACCUUACCUAGGCUAUAAUGUGAGUGAUCGGUGCUGAAAGGCACUUUUCCUUCGGGACACGAAACAAGGUGCUGCAUGGUUGUCGUCAGCUCGUGCCGUGAGGUGUCAGGUUAAGUCCUAUAACGAGCGCAACCCCUGUCGUUAGUUGCCAGCAAGUUAAGUUGGGCACUCUAGCGAGACUGCCAGUGCAAACUGUGAGGAAGGUGGGGGAUGACGUCAAAUCAUCACGGCCCUUACGUCCUGGGCUACACACGUGCUACAAUGGCCGGUACAGAGAGCAGCCACUACGCGAGUAGGAGCGAAUCUAUAAAACCGGUCUCAGUUCGGAUCGCAGUCUGCAACUCGACUGCGUG
rnacentral:rRNA from 1 species